rnacentral:rRNA from 1 species
GGGUGAGUAAUGCCUAGGAAAUUGCCCUGAUGUGGGGGAUAACCAUUGGAAACGAUGGCUAAUACCGCAURAUGCCUAYGGSCAAAGAGGGGGACCUUCGGGCCUCUCGCGUCAGGAUAUGCCUAGGUGGGAUUAGCUAGUUGGUGAGGUAAKGGCUCACCWAGGCGACGAUCCCUAGCUGGUCUGAGAGGAUGAUCAGCCACACUGGAACUGAGACACGGUCCAGACUWMUACGGGAGGCAGCAGUGGGGAAUAUUGCACAAUGGGCGCAAGUGAWGCAGCCAUGCCGCGUGUGUGAAGAAGGCCUUCGGGUUGUAAAGCACUUUCAGKCGUGAGGAAGGYAGUGUAGUUAAUAGCUGCAUUAUUUGAMGKUAGCSACAGAAGAAGCACCGGCUAACUYCGUGCCAGCAGCCGCGGUAAUACGGAGGGUGCGAGCSUUAAUCGGAAUUACUGGGCGUAAAGCGCAUGRGGYGGUUUGUUAAGUCAGAUGUKAAAGCCCGGGGCUCAACCUCSGAAUAGCAUUUGAAAMUGGSAGACUAGAGUACUGUAGAGGGGGGUAGAAUUUCAGGUGUAGCGGUGAAAUGCGUAGAGAUCUGAAGGAAUACCGGUGGCGAAGCGGCCCCCCUGGACAGAUACUGACACUCAGAUGCKAAAGSYGGGGAGCAAACAGGAUUAGAUACCCUGGUAGUC